GACUGUUAGUCGGCUCGCCCGUUAGGCAGUACUCUGGAGUUUUUCCGUACCUGGAAACGUGUCUUGGAACUGAUGCUGAACUGAAUUUCUUGGGUUCGAGUUUAAGGGACUCAGGAUUGCAGAAGCCUCGUUAAUGGGAUCUAGAGAUGCGAAGAACUGGCCGGCCGAGGGCUGCAGGCCUGAGAGGUGCACCCCGGCGGGCCGCCCACCGGUUAGCAGGGAAGUGAGAUCUGGGGACAAGGGAAAAGGAUAGCAGGUUACAUCUCGGG
rnacentral:lncRNA from 1 species